rnacentral:rRNA from 1 species
GAUGAACGCUGGCGGCGUGCUUAACACAUGCAAGUCGAACGGAAACGCCCAAGCUUGCUGGGGUACUCGAGUGGCGAACGGGGGAGGAACACGUGGGUGAUCUGCCCUGCACUUCGGGAGAAGCCUGGGAAACUGGGUCUAAUAUCGGAUAGGACCACACUUUCGGUGGUGUGGUGGAAAGCUUUUCGGUGUGGGAUGAGCUGGCGGCCUAUCAGCUUGUUGGUGGGGGAAUGGCCUACCAAGGCGUCGGCGGGUAGCCGGCCUGAGAGGGUGUACGGCCACAUUGGGACUGAGAUGAGGCCGAGGCUCCUACGAGUGGCAGAAGUGGGGAAGCUUGAACCAUGGGUGCCGGCCUGAUGCAGAGGCGCCGCGUGGUGGAUGACGGCCUUGGUGUUGUAGACUACUUUCGGUUGGGACGACGCGUUAUCUGACGGUACCUGGAGAAGAAGCACCGGCUAACUACGUG